UACGGGGGGGGCAAGCGUUGUUCGGAAUUACUGGGCGUAAAGGGCUCGUAGGCGGCCAACUAAGUCGGAUGUGAAAUCCCCAGGCUUAACCUGGGAACUGCAUCCGAUAUUGGAUGGCUUGAAUCCGGGAGAGGGAUGCAGAAUUCCAGGUGUAGCGGUGAAAUGCGUAGAUAUCUGGAGGAAUACCGGUGGCGAAGGCGGCAUCCUGGACCGGCAUUGACGCUGAUGAGCGAAAGCUAGGGGAGCAAACGGG
rnacentral:rRNA from 1 species